rnacentral:rRNA from 1 species
UACAGAGGUCUCAAGCGUUGUUCGGAUUCAUUGGGCGUAAAGGGUGCGUAGGCGGCGCGGUAAGUCGGGUGUGAAAUCUCGGAGCUUAACUCCGAAACUGCAUUCGAUACUGCCGCACUUGAGGGCUUGAGAGGGACGCGGAAUUCCAGGUGGAGCGGUGAAAUGCGUAGAGAUCUGGAAGAACACCAAAGGCGAAGGCAGCGUCCUGGCGAGUCACUGACGCUCAGGUGCGAAAGCUAGGGGAGCGAACGGG